UGCAAGUAUCCUCAGGGCACAACUGUCAUUUGUUUUUAUAUAUACCCAUUGUCUGGUAUGGGCCUUUUGCUUGACAUCUUUUGCUGGGAGGAUAAGAUAGAAUGAAGCAGACAAGCUCCAGACCAUGGAGCUCAGCUAGAAUGAGCCAUGGUGUUGAGGAGACACACAUUCAGACUGCCCAAUAAGUCACUAGCAGAGAUAGGGAAGCACCUGUUAUCCAAGAUGAUUCCGGGACUCAAUUAAUUGUAACUACUUCAUCCAGUUCCAUGAUGAUGAGUAGCAGAAUGUGCUUAGUUACAUGAUAUCGGUUUGUACAUUAUUCAGUGUGAUUCCUCUAAGAAACAUACUGACGUAUACUAUGUGUAAGAAUGAAUCAGUUGCAUUGUCCCUGCCUCCAGUGUAUAUGUAAGGAGGAACCUAAUAUGCCUGCCCUACCUGUUAUCCUCGAAGAGCUGUGGUAAGGAGUGACUCGUGCUGUGAUGUGAUUGGAACCAGAUGAAGGGAUCACGGAAGGAUUCAUGGAAAAGGUGGCCUUUGAGCUGGACCUGCAAAAUUCACCAGUUGGAGAAGGCAGUCCCAGGACCACCAUGAGCCUAGACUUGGAGAUGAGAUGGCACCUAAGCCACCUCGGCCCUAGCCACAGGCCCCUGAGCCUUCCUGAUCCCUCAGCGGGACUCACCUGCGGCCCCC
rnacentral:lncRNA from 1 species